rnacentral:rRNA from 1 species
GACGAACGCUGGCGGCGUGCUUAACACAUGCAAGUCGAACGGAAAGGCCCUGCUUUUGUGGGGUGCUCGAGUGGCGAACGGGUGAGUAACACGUGAGUAACCUGCCCUUGACUUUGGGAUAACUUCAGGAAACUGGGGCUAAUACCGGAUAGGAGCUCCUACUGCAUGGUGGGGGUUGGAAAGUUUCGGCGGUUGGGGAUGGACUCGCGGCUUAUCAGCUCGUUGGUGGGGUAGUGGCUUACCAAGGCUUUGACGGGUAGCCGGCCUGAGAGGGUGACCGGCCACAUUGGGACUGAGAUACGGCCCAGACUCCUACGGGAGGCAGCAGUGGGGAAUAUUGCACAAUGGGCGGAAGCCUGAUGCAGCAACGCCGCGUGCGGGAUGACGGCCUUCGGGUUGUAAACCGCUUUCGCCUGUGACGAAGCGUGAGUGACGGUAAUGGGUAAAGAAGCACCGGCUAACUACGUG